rnacentral:rRNA from 1 species
CCGCGUAAUGUCCGGCGGAGGACAUUA